rnacentral:rRNA from 1 species
GACGAUAUGCUUUGGGGAGCUGUAAGUAAGCUUUGAUCCAGAGAUUUCCGAAUGGGGAAACCCAGCAUGAGUUAUGUCAUGUUAUCGAUAUGUGAAUACAUAGCAUAUCAGAAGGCACACCCGGAGAACUGAAACAUCUUAGUACCCGGAGGAAGAGAAAGAAAAUUCGAUUCCCUUAGUAGCGGCGAGCGAAACGGGAAGAGCCCAAACCAACAAGCUUGCUUGUUGGGGUUGUAGGACACUCUAUACGGAGUUACAAAGGACGACAUUAGACGAAUCAUCUGGAAAGAUGAAUCAAAGAAGGUAAUAAUCCUGUAGUCGAAAAUGUUGUCUCUCUUGAGUGGAUCCUGAGUACGACGGAGCACGUGAAAUUCCGUCGGAAUCUGGGAGGACCAUCUCCUAAGGCUAAAUACUCUCUAGUGACCGAUAGUGAACCAGUACCGUGAGGGAAAGGUGAAAAGCACCCCGGAAGGGGAGUGAAAUAGAACCUGAAACCGUGUGCUUACAAGUAGUCAGAGCCCGUUAAUGGGUGAUGGCGUGCCUUUUGUAGAAUGAACCGGCGAGUUACGAUUUGAUGCAAGGUUAAGCAGUAAAUGUGGAGCCGUAGCGAAAGCGAGUCUGAAUAGGGCGUUUAGUAUUUGGUCGUAGACCCGAAACCAGGUGAUCUACCCUUGGUCAGGUUGAAGUUCAGGUAACACUGAAUGGAGGACCGAACCGACUUACGUUGAAAAGUGAGCGGAUGAACUGAGGGUAGCGGAGAAAUUCCAAUCGAACCUGGAGAUAGCUGGUUCUCUCCGAAAUAGCUUUAGGGCUAGCCUCAAGUGAUGAUUAUUGGAGGUAGAGCACUGUUUGGACGAGGGGCCCCUCUCGGGUUACCGAAUUCAGACAAACUCCGAAUGCCAAUUAAUUUAACUUGGGAGUCAGAACAUGGGUGAUAAGGUCCGUGUUCGAAAGGGAAACAGCCCAGACCACCAGCUAAGGUCCCAAAAUAUAUGUUAAGUGGAAAAGGAUGUGGCGUUGCCCAGACAACUAGGAUGUUGGCUUAGAAGCAGCCAUCAUUUAAAGAGUGCGUAAUAGCUCACUAGUCGAGUGACACUGCGCCGAAAAUGUACCGGGGCUAAACAUAUUACCGAAGCUGUGGAUUGUCCUUUGGACAAUGGUAGGAGAGCGUUCUAAGGGCGUUGAAGCAUGAUCGUAAGGACAUGUGGAGCGCUUAGAAGUGAGAAUGCCGGUGUGAGUAGCGAAAGACGGGUGAGAAUCCCGUCCACCGAUUGACUAAGGUUUCCAGAGGAAGGCUCGUCCGCUCUGGGUUAGUCGGGUCCUAAGCUGAGGCCGACAGGCGUAGGCGAUGGAUAACAGGUUGAUAUUCCUGUACCACCUAUAAUCGUUUUAAUCGAUGGGGGGACGCAGUAGGAUAGGCGAAGCGUGCGAUUGGAUUGCACGUCUAAGCAGUAAGGCUGAGUAUUAGGCAAAUCCGGUACUCGUUAAGGCUGAGCUGUGAUGGGGAGAAGACAUUGUGUCUUCGAGUCGUUGAUUUCACACUGCCGAGAAAAGCCUCUAGAUAGAAAAUAGGUGCCCGUACCGCAAACCGACACAGGUAGUCAAGAUGAGAAUUCUAAGGUGAGCGAGCGAACUCUCGUUAAGGAACUCGGCAAAAUGACCCCGUAACUUCGGGAGAAGGGGUGCUCUUUAGGGUUAACGCCCAGAAGAGCCGCAGUGAAUAGGCCCAAGCGACUGUUUAUCAAAAACACAGGUCUCUGCUAAACCGUAAGGUGAUGUAUAGGGGCUGACGCCUGCCCGGUGCUGGAAGGUUAAGAGGAGUGGUUAGCUUCU